rnacentral:rRNA from 1 species
UACGGGGGGGGCAAGCGUUGUUCGGAAUUACUGGGCGUAAAGGGCUCGUAGGCGGCCAACUAAGUCGGACGUGAAAUCCCCAGGCUCAACCUGGGAACUGCAUCCGAUACUGGAUGGCUUGAAUUCGGGAGAGGGAUGCAGAAUUCCAGGUGUAGCGGUGAAAUGCGUAGAUAUCUGGAGGAAUACCGGUGGCGAAGGCGGCAUCCUGGACCGACAUUGACGCUGAGGAGCGAAAGCCAGGGGAGCAAACGGG